rnacentral:rRNA from 1 species
UACGUAGGGGGCAAGCGUUGUCCGGAAUCAUUGGGCGUAAAGCGCGUGUAGGCGGCUAGGUAAGUCUGCUCUGAAAGCCCGGGGCUCAACCCCGGGAGGCGGGUGGAUACUGUCUAGCUCGAGUCCGGAAGAGGAGUGUGGAAUUCCUGGUGUAGCGGUGAAAUGCGCAGAUAUCAGGAGGAACACCAAUGGCGAAGUCAGCACUCUGGGACGUGACUGACGCUGAGACGCGAAAGCGUGGGGAGCAAACAGG